CAGAUUCAAUACAAGGGGAGCAGAGACACCUGGUGAUCGGAUUCCAAGUUACAAGGAGUGGGAGGACAGUUGCCGCGUAGGUGUUUGUUUCCGAGAAUUCCGCCUCCGUUUGUUCCCCCGUUCCACUCAGCGCUGCUCCCAUUCCUCCUUCCCUCCUCGCCUCGCUCUUCCUCUUGGCUCCUCACCCUCUGUCAGUUACACUUAGGACACGGAGAGAGGAACAUGCGAAGGCGGUGUCCACGUAUUAAGGUUCCAGAGGCGUCACUAGCAGGCGGGACACGAAGGAGGGAAGUAUACUGGAAACUGCCUUAGGAGAGACUUGAACAACGCAGAACUUACAGGCAUUGGUUAAAAGGUACAAAUUUGGGAUGUACAUUCAAAGUGGCUAUAAGUGUGUGUGGCAGAGAGGGGGCAGCCCUGAAGCCCCACCCACUUCACACACCAACCCCAGCUUCACACCACCUAUGUCAAUGGGCUUUAUAUUUGGGGGAUAAGUGUGAGGACUGAAAGGCAUCAUGGAAGGAAGCAAGUGAACACCAAGGAAUCAAAAGGUAAGCUGCUUUGAUUUUACUUUUUGUUUU